rnacentral:rRNA from 1 species
AUUGAACGCUGGCGGCAUGCCUAACACAUGCAAGUCGAGCGGAGCGGCGGACGGGUGCGUAAUGCCUAGAAAUCUGCCUGGUAGAAGGGGAUAAGGGUCGGUAACAGGAGCUAAUCCCGAUUCCUAUCAGAUGGGCCUAGGUCGGAUUAGCUAGUGGGUGGGGUAAAGGUAUACCAAGGCGACGAUCCGUAACUGGUCUGAGAGGGUGAUCAGUCAAACUGGAACUGAGACACGGUCCAGACUCCUAAGGGAGGCAGCAGUGGGGAAUAUUGGACAAUGGGGGAAAGCCUGAUCCAGCCAUGCCGCGUGUGUGAUGAAGGUCUUCGGAGUGUAAAGCACUUUAAGUUGGGAGUCGGUACCAACAGAAUAAGCACCGGCUAACUUCGUGCCAGCAGCCGCGGUAAUAC